rnacentral:snRNA from 1 species
AUGCUCGCUUCAGCAGCACAUAUACUAAAACUGGAACAAUACAGAGAAGAUUAGCAUGGCUCCUGUGCAAGGAUGACAUGCAAAUUUGUGAAGCAUUCUAUAUUUUU